UCCCCGAGGGGCAGUCUCGCCAGACACAAGUAACUGGCGACGAGGGUUGCGCUCGUUGCGGGACUUAACCCAACAUCUCACGACACGAGCUGACGACAGCCAUGCAGCACCUGUGGCGCACCCUCGAAGGCGACCGGCUUUCACCGGCGUGCAGCGCCAUGUCCAAUCUAGGUAAGGUUGUGCGCGUUGCGUCGAAUUAAACCACACGCUCCGCUGCUUGUGCGGGUCCCCGUCAAUUCCUUUGAGUUUUAGUCUUGCGACCGUACUUCCCAGGCGGAUGACUUACCGCGUUAGCUGAGGCGCGCAGGAGGUCUUACCCCCCCACACGCCGAGUCAUCAUCGUUUACGGCGUGGACUAC
rnacentral:misc_RNA from 1 species